rnacentral:rRNA from 1 species
GCCGCUUAACGGUAACAUGGCCUUGGAUACUGGAUGCCUUGAAUCUGACAGAGGUCGGUGGAAUUCGUAGUGUAGCGGUGAAAUGCAUAGAUAUUACGAAGAACACCAGUGGCGAAGGCGGCCGGCUGGGUCAGUAUUGACGCUGAGGCACGAGAGCGUGGGGAGCGAACAGGAUUAGAUACCCUGGUAGUCCACGCUGUAAACGAUGUAUGCUAGUUGUUGGGCCUUUGGGUUCAGUGACGCAGUUAACGCAGUAAGCAUACCACCUGGGGAGUACGUUCGCAAGAAUGAAACUCAAAGGAAUUGACGGGGGCCCGCACAAGCGGUGGAGCAUGUGGCUUAAUUCGAUGCAACGCGAAGAACCUUACCCGGGCUAAAUCCUGAUUUGAUACCCCGAAACGGGUAGUUCUCUUCGGAGCGGUCAGGAAGGUGCUGCAUGGCUGUCGUCAGCUCGUGCCGUGAGGUGUUGCCUUAAGUGGCGCAACGAGCGCAACCCCUAUGGUUAGUUACCAGCACGUAAUGGUGGGGACUCUAGCCAGACUGCCUACGCAAGUAGUGAGGAAGGUGGGGACGACGUCAAGUCAUCAUGGCCCUUAUGUCCGGGGCUGCACACGUGCUACAAUGGACGGUACAGAGGGAAGCCACCCAGCGAUGGGGCGCAGAUCUCGAAAGCCGUUCCCAGUUCGGAUUGGAGUCUGCAACUCGACUCCAUGAAGGUGGAAUCGCUAGUAAUCGCGUAUCAGCAACGACGCGGUGAAUACGUUCCCGGGCCUUGUACACACCGCCCGUCAAGCGAUGGAAGUCAGGAGUACCUGAUGUCGCCGUGCCAACCCUUCGG